UGACCAUUACCUAAGUAAAGUUGGGAUGACAUCUUUAUCUCUGUACCUUUGAAAGAUACCCUUGUUUUCAUCAAAAUUUAUGUUACCCACACUAGGCUAAAAUAUUUGUUUUUAGUAAAGUGAAAAAUCGUUCUGUAAAGUGACCAACAAUUCACUUAGUUUGUUUUGAAAGUUAGGACUUUUCAUUUUUCAGGUUUUCUUAGUGUGAAAUAUGAACCCAUCAUUAUAUGGCCUGGGAACUGGACCAGUUUUAAAUCUUAUGUUGAGAGCUGGAAGAUGGUGGAGGAGUACUGCCUGAGAAUGAACCAUUAUCCAAUGAGAGGGAAGCAGUGUGUGACAUUAAUGGAAAGACAUGCAGAUGUGGAGGAAGAAAGGUCUGGGCAAACUUCCUCAAGCCAUCUAACCUGUCUGCACCAGAGCUUACUUGGAAAGUGGAACAAUACCACCACCAGCAUUUCUGCCUUUCUGAUGGGCAGGACCACAGGGGAUUGGAGGCAGUGCUGGGACAGAGCAUGGUUCCGCCUUUGAUAGCCUCUGCUCUUCAUAGGGAACCCCAGAGUGAAGGACGGUCAAUGUGUUUUGUUUGCAUGAACACAAAUUGUGAGUGAGUGGGGUUUGUUUCCCUAAGGAAGUCUGACAUCGUGUUUGUAAUGCUUGUUAUUACAGAGGUGGUGAUUCGUGGAGCCAGAGGUGUAUAGUCAUCACCUUUAUCAGUACAGAAAAUAUAGUCUGAAUCGAAGUUCUUCCAUAGUUCUCAGCUAAGACAUGGCUUUUGGAGGAAAAUUCCAUAGCUACAGAGGUCAGGAUGCUGGUUUCUGCCAGUUACUGAGAGCCUAACUCUUGGUGUUACAUUCCCAACUGAAAAUACAUUAUUCCCAGCAGGUUUUCCCUUGUGCAGCCUGCAUUCAGGUUCCGGAGUGCUGACUCUCCUUUAUGGGGUCGAAGGCCUCCAUCAUAUUGCAAAAGACAUGCUUUCUCAAGAUAGGCUGGAGGAAAAAAACCUCCAUAUUUAAUGAUGCUAUUCCAGCGAAGCAGGGCCUUAAUGAUGAUAAUAAUAAUAAUUAAUGGCACAGCUAGAGAACUGACAAAUAAUGGGGAACAGAUGAUCCCUUCCUGGCCUCACAAAAAAAAAAAAAAAAAAAAAAGGUCUGUACGCCUGCAGAAAAUUAAACAGAUUCUUUCCUGGCAAUUUAAAACUCAGAUGCCACAGCCAGAGUCAGUUAGUGGUUUCUGUUUUUCUCUGUGGAGAGCUAAAAGUAUAAAAUUCCAACUACUUCCAACUCCUGCAUUGCCACACAAAGCAAAAUAAGGCAUAUGGCAUCAGCCCUGAGUCUUCAGUUUAGCUGCAGUUCUCACAUCCUAACUGGUCCCACCAGCAAUUUUAAGUUCUUUUAUGUUUUAUCGUUUCUUAGUUGUGCUAAUAAAGUGUAACUUUCUCACCCUA